GGUCCUCCAGGCCCAUAGAUACUGAUUGGAGGUCCUCCAGAACCAUUGAAAGUCCUCCAGACCCAUAGAUUCCCAAUCGGGGUCCACCAGACCCAUAGAUACUGAUUGGAGGUCCUCCAGCCCCAUAGAUUCCCAAUCGGGGUCCUCCAGGGCUUUUGGGGGUCCUCCAGGGCUGUUGGAGGUCCUCCAGACCCAUAGAUACUGAUUGGAGGUCCUCCAGACCCAUAGAUUCCCAAUCGGGGUCCUCCAGGGUUGUUGGAGGUCCUCCAGGCCCAUAGAUACUGAUUGGAAGUCCUCCAGGGUUGUUGGAGGUCCUCCAGACCCAUAGAUUCCCAAUCAGGGUCCUCCAGACCCAUAGAUACUGAUUGGAGGUCCUCCAGACCCAUAGAUUCCCAAUCAGGGUCCUCCAGGGCUGUUGGAGGUCCUCCAGACCCAUAGAUACUGAUUGGAAGUCCUCCAGGGUUGUUGGAGGUCCUCCAGACCCAUAGAUACUGACUGGAAGUCCUCCAAGGUUGUUGGAGGUCCUCCAGCCCCAUAGAUUCCCAAUCGGGGUCCUCCAGCCCCAUAGAUACUGAUUGAAAGUCCUCCAAGGUUGUUGGAGGUCCUCCAGCCCCACAGGAGGACCUCCAACACCACUGGAGGACCUCCCCCAAGUCCUCCAACCCCACAGGAGGACCUCCAACCCUACAGGAGGACCUCCCCAAGUCCUCCAACCCCACAGGAGGACCUCCCAAGUCCUCCAGCCCCACAGGAGGACCUCCAACCCCAUAGAAGGACCUCCAACCUUACAGGAGGACCUUCCCCCAAGUCCUCCAACCCCACAGGAGGACCUCNNNNNNNNNNNNNNNNNNNNNNNNNNNNNCCAACCCCCCACCCCCCCAAAAAAUCUCCUCACCCUGCACUUCCUUCCUGAUCACCCCGCCGCUCCGCUGGUCUUUGACGCUACAGACGAAGCUCUUCCUCUUUUCCCCGGCCGUCAGUCGGACGAAGCUGAGCCUUUUUGGGGAGCCCGAAACGAUGGCGGCCAUGUCGGAACCCCCGACCCCCUCCCAGCUGACGGAGGAAGAGGAGGAGGAAGGAGAAACCAGGCAACCCACGGCGGCGGGGAGAGAGGAGUCGGAACAACAGGCGGACAGCGGGUACAGCUGGGGGCUGCUUGUAGGGCGGGCUGUGGGGAGAGAGGAAGGGGGUCAGAUUCUGCCCCAUAG
rnacentral:lncRNA from 1 species